rnacentral:lncRNA from 1 species
AGCAGCUUUCAGGAUGAGGUAAUUAAAAGAAACCUAUCAAUUUGAGAUUUUUUUUUACCGUGAGUAAAUAAUGUUGACAUACUGUUCAAAUAAACCCACAAUUUACUGCAAUCUGUUUUUAGAGAAACCCUCCACUUUAACCUCCAAAUAGGAAAAAACGAAGAGACUUUCCUCUUCUCAUUUAAUCAAGAACAUAUGUUCAAAGAUAAUACCGGAGGCUUAUUCUGGGAAGCGUUCUGCUCUUCCUCCGACAGCCACGCAGCGAGCUCACGAGGCAGCCUCCACACAUAAUGAAAGCAAACGCCACCAUAAAUCUCCCGCUCGGCGGAGGUCACUUCAGAAAAAUCGCCCGCUGCUCAGAUAAGCACCAGCUUUGCUGAGGAACAUGGAAGGGGGAAAACACCGACUGUGAUAAACACCAGCAGGUAGGCUCCAAAUGGAGGCCAACCCAGGCAACUCGGAGAGAAGGGAGCCGGGAUGAAGCAGGAUGACUGGAGUCCGCUGGAACCUGGAAUGGAGUUUUCUGACAGCAAAGGAUUACAGGAGCGUAACAGAAAUUAUGGAGAUUUCCCCGCUAGGCAUAAGGAUGCGAUCACUGUAGGCACCUGUGGGCCCAAGCAGGUUACCCACCAAUAUCCCUUUAAACACCAAAUUAUGGACUAUUAGGCCACUGCUUCAAGGCUUCUACAAAUGUGAAACCUUGACAAAUUCCCAAAUAAAAGCCAUAAAACCAAUCAUUUUUUAAACCUGUAUGAGUGACACCAGGAAAAUUACAGCAGUGUGGCAGGUCACUGUGAAAUAAAGCUGCCAGAAAGAAGCUUACGAUGCUGUCAUGGAAAAGGCAAUUAGAAGGUUACUUUCUCUCAGGUCUAAGAUUGGUUCUUGUUCUUCCUACAGCUCCCUGCCUUCCACCUCCCUGCUGCAAAAUGGAUCAAUCUAUAAUAAGUAGUAGUUAUAUAUCAUAAGGCAGCAAUUCCUUUUAGUUGUUCCACUAUAAAAAAGCAUCCAGAUUUAGAACUUGACAGGAACCAGUAUCGCCUGCCCCCCAGAGCCGGCAGAAAGUCUGUGUAUGUCAUUCAGCCAGCAUGGAGUCUGGGUGUUUUAAAAGCUUUAAUUUGAAGGGGAUAAAAAACCUGGGCGUUAAGCAAUUUGGCUGUGGAUAUUUAAUGCAUCAGCCACGCUAUAGAAUUGGAGUCCUCUAUUUAAAAUGAGAAAUUGAAAACUUACACGCUCUGUAGGCAAGGUGUAAGUAAAUGUAGGAUGGUAAGCAGAAAUCAGCUGAGAACCUGCAGAAACGCCAUUAGAAGGACUAAUGGCAUGGUUCAGAAGUGGCCUUAAACAAAUGCUAGGGUGUCGUUUGUAAGUGUGUAAAACAGGUCUGGCUUUUAAUUAGCAGGAGCCAUAUCUCCCUGUGUUUAGGAAAAGGCAUUACUUCUCAAAGAGAAUAUCCUAACGGGGUCUACAUAGGGACCAGGAGGAAACAAUGGCCCGGGAGUUGAGAUUUGCCUCAAGGCACGUUCCUCCUCAAUGGCAGCGUGGAGAUUGGAACUCAGUCUCCUUAUCUCUAAUUUCCACUCUAACACACUUAUUGUAGGUAGAAAAAAUGCAUCCCAAAGAUGUCUACUUCUUACUCCCCAGAACCUGUACAUACAGCACCUUACAUGGCAAAAGUGACUUUGCAGAUACGAUUGAGUUAAGGGUUUUGAGAUAGGGAGAUUACCAGGUGGCCCAACGGAAUCACAAGGGGCCUGAUAAGUAUGAGAGGGAGCAGAAGAGUGAGGGUCAGAGUCAGAGAGAGACUGGAAGAUGCUAUACCACUGGCUUUGAAGAUGAAGGAGGGGGACACAAGCCAAGGAAUGCAGGCAGCCUCUAAAUGCAGGAAAAGGUUUACUCCAUUCAUUAGAGGAGAUGACAGAACUCUUGACAGCAAUGCUAUCAAGAAGGAAGUUUCAGUUUAAGAACCCCUCUGGGCUUGCAGAAUGACACACACUGCAGCCAAGAUGGUGCUACUAUAAGAAAUGGACUCCCCAGCACGUUAUUGAAGAAAAAAAAAACCUGCAGCAAUCAAAAAAAAAAGGGGGGACGGGGGCAAAUCUAUAACUUCAGCUGGAAGUGAUGAAAAUUAACUGUUAGAAGUAGAAGAGACCUUAUGCUACUAAAAUAAUAAUCAUCACUUCAAAUAUUUCCUGCUCUUGAAAUAUUUUGUCAGUGCCCUGUGAUAUCGGGAAAUAAAGUUACGUUCAUUUCCAGUUUUAAGAUGGAAAUGGGAGUUCACAUUAGCGUACAUACAUAUUUUGUGAAAUGGAAAAAUGAGACCCACUGUCAGCCACAAUAAUAAGUACAUUCCUCAAAAAAUGAAGACUUCUGGUUUGAUUUCAUUGACCUGUUAGGAAUGGUUAACUUUUUAAUUUUUUUUUUUUUUGAAUACAAAUUUUGAGUUAUCUCUCCCAAGGCCAUCAUGUCAUCAAUUUCUUAGGAAUAUAGAGAAAAGGUUGAACUAUAUGCCUAUGAAUCUGUGAAUAAAUUACUCUUCUUAUCUAUGGAAAUGUCCCCUACACUUAAAAAGUAUGGUCAGCAUUAUGUAAGCUAAAC